UACGUAGGGGGCGAGCGUUGUCCGGAAUUAUUGGGCGUAAAGGGUGCGUAGGCGGCCUUUUAAGUCAGGUGUGAAAGGUCACGGCUCAACCGUGGUAAGCACUUGAAACUGGAAGGCUUGAGUUAAGGAGAGGAAAGUGGAAUUCCUAGUGUAGCGGUGAAAUGCGUAGAUAUUAGGAGGAAUACCAGUGGCGAAGGCGACUUUCUGGACUUAAACUGACGCUGAGGCACGAAAGCGUGGGGAGCAAACAGGAUUAGAUACCCUGGUAGUCCACGCCGUAAACGAUGAGUGCUAGGUGUCGGGGGUUACCCCUCGGUGCCGCAGCUAACGCAUUAAGCACUCCGCCUGGGGAGUACGUGCGCAAGCAUGAA
rnacentral:rRNA from 1 species